rnacentral:lncRNA from 1 species
UUCACUCGCGAAUACCAGAAAGAAUAACCAAAAAUACUCCAUCCAUCAUCGGGGCUCACUGUUCUAGUAAACCAGCUUUGAUUCUACCCCCUAAACUCCAAAAUCAGCAACCAAAAAACCGAUCCAUUAUUUCGAUUCAGUCGACUCCCACAGGAAAACAACAAUAGCCAGUUGACCACCACCCAUGUCCUUCCACCUCGCUAGAAAAUGUGACCUGACUA